rnacentral:lncRNA from 1 species
UCUCAUUCUGGCACACUUCCCAUUGCUUUCAUAUAGACUUAAAAAUGACAAGGUGAAUAAGAUGACACCACUUUUCUUUCAAAAAUGUAGUCAUGCUGAAAAUAUCUACGUAGAAGACAAGUCACAAAGCAUGGGAAACAUCAUAAAGGAUGCUUGUUAACAAUGGAAAAAAUGAAUGGAGAAGAGAGAGAAGGGUGUCAGAUGAGAAGCGCUCAUAAUACCUGCAAUAUAUAAACACCAGGCUUCAGUUUCCAAGACAAGUGAGUCUCAGAUUGACAGAUGGUGGAUGAUUGCUUCUGGUAGAGGGAACGAUGGUUAGUUUGCAAGUAAAAGCAGAUAAAGGAGCACAUGAAUAACAGUGAAAUCUUUGGUAUGUGGGUAAGGCUUAAAUUAUAAAUGGCUUAAAUUAUAAAUGGUUCAUGAUUGACUGGCCACAAGCAACUUAUUAAGAAUGCACAUAUGGUGAAGAAACUGCAGUGGUGCUCGAACAGAUGAAUGCAGCUGAUCAUAAAAAAUCCUAUACUAAAUGGAAAGGAGUACUUGGAAAAAAGUUUGAAGGGGACCUAAGAGGAGAGGAAAUACAAAUUAAGCAGGCACCUGUGACAAAAAGCAAAAGCAACAAAAACACGCUUGGAAUUUGAGCAUAUGAGAGUUAAGCUCUGGUUGAUCCAAGGACUCAGCUUCAAUUCUAAAUGCAAUUGGUAAAAUUUGAUGUUAAAAUAAUAUAACAGGGCUAAAUUAGACAAAUGAAAUAACCCGCUUAGAGCUUUGCCUGUGAUCACAGACCAAGUGCUCUCUACAGAGAACAAGGCUGUCAUCCACAAUGAGAUCAAACUCAAAACAUAGGGAAAUACCACCCAAAAUGUUCCUCUUCAGAACGACCUGGUCAGGAAUGACGUUAGCGCAUGUUCCAUCAAGACGAGCUUUCUGCUUUCUAACGUGCUAUAUGAAAAUUACCUACUUUGGUCAUAUCCAAUCAUGAUACUUUCUAAGAAGUUACAAUAAAAUCAAAAAAUGUGUUUUUAGAGAAUAAAAU